UUUUAGCAUACUGUACAUGCCUGGCAUCUUUGUGCAGCCUUAGAUGUGAAAUAACAAUAUGUAUGUUAUUGAACUUUCAUAGAACUCUUCAAGGAAGAUAAAAUUAAACCAAAGAGAACUGCGUACAUCCAGCAUGUAUUUGCAGUUCAGACAUUUCAAUGUCCUUGGAAAGCAAGAGAGCAUGUAGAGCAAUUUGAAUUUACUGAAUUCUGGAGUAAAGCUUUAUUUUCUGAAGUGACAUCCUAAUUUACUUUUUCUCUGUGGCUUGGUGUUCCUGGUGGCUUGUUCACAAAGUGCAGAUUAAUUCAUGGACUUUCAUUAAUCACCUUUACAAAGCAGCUAUCUCCAUGACUCAAGAAAGUGCAGGGAAAGUAAAGAGUUCUUUUUUCCUCUGAACAUACUGCAUUGGAUSGAAGAACCUUGUGAUGUCUCUUUCAAUGUUGGCAGCAGGCAUGGGACCAUGGACAGAAGGAAAAGGUUGGGAGAUGACAGGAGAGAGAGAGAGAGAGAAAGGCCCUACUCAUCUUCCCAUUCCAGGUAUGUCAGAGAAAGUUGCAAUGCUCUAAUGUUCCUUUACUCUUCUAUAUUGACUUUGAAUCUCUGAAUCACUGACCUCUCAUCUUUUAUUCUAGUUCAUACCCCUGACAUUUUCCAAGGGAAUCCUCCAGAGAAGAAGGCUGUUUCUUGAAAUACCGUGCUUUUCAACUGCGUACUUCAAAGCAUGUUUCCUGUCAGAGAUUUUUAUUUAUUUUUAUUAUUUAUUUAUUUAUUUAUUUAUUUAUUUUUGGUGUGCAGGAGGGGGCACAGGUUGAAGGAACUUGCUUAGUUAUCUAAAGAAGAUGUUUAUGUCUCACUAAGUGCACCAACACGCAGCCACAGGAAAGAAAGACUAGGGAAGUGUCUGCCUCACCUUGCACCAGACGAGUGUUGUAAUAAUCUUGUGGUGUCCUCUCACGUUUCUGAUUAACCURAACUCUGCCUACUGUGCAAAGUCCUCUCAUUUUAUUCUUCCCACACAGAAAUGUGCUCUCACGUUAAACUGUGCAUUUGAUCCAUAUUUUUUCUUCAACUGCUGUCUUACCAGCUAGGAUGUGCUUCUAAGAGGACUGACAAGUAGGAAAAGAGCUACAAGGAAAUAGUUCAGCUAGGUGCUGGCUGAAAGAAAUAGGUCAACAGGAUGGUCAUGCAGAGACAAAAACCUGCCAUAUAUAUCUAGCCAUUGUGCAAUGCUCCGUUCUGUACAGCAGCUAAUCUUACCUGCCAUCCAGCCAGCCAGCCUUUGUAAUGACCUCACUAGAUCUCACUUUCUCAAUUAUUUGCAAAAAUGCUAUAAUUUCAACGAAACACUUAUCUUUAAGGACAUCUACUUAAGUAAUUAUAUUUCCCCCCGCCCCCAGGCUAAUUGAUUCUGAAGCCAACUUUGUGAUUCUGCAAUGCCACUUUUUGAGCAGGUCUUUUACAUUUUACAUGAUCUCUUGGGAAUGACUCAAACUCUAGUGCUCAAAGCUUCUCAACAACCAAAGUUUCCUGAACAUCUGAAGAGACAUACUGAGGCUGAACUUACUUCAGGAAUCCCAGUAAAACCAGAGGUUGUCCUGAAGUCUGCAGCAGUCAGCACUCGUGAAUCUAGCUGGUGCUAUGUGCCCAUGGUGUGCUCGCAACCCGCCUUGUCCCAUCCCCUUCAACCACAGGUUGUUGAUAACUCUUUGAGCUGUGGACUGUGUCUGACCUUUCAGAUGCAUGAGCACAACUUCAUUCUUAUCAGGAAGCCAUUCCCUAUUCUCUAUUCCCUAUUUUCUAUGCCAUUCCCUAUUUGCUAUGCUUGGCAGCUCAGUGUGUCCCUGAUUUGGUGCUGGAUCCUCAAGUUUGUGGGCACAGCCCGGGUCCCUGCACUUACUUGGACUGAAGUGGUGGACCUGGCAGCAGAACAGGCUGCUCUCCCUCUGGUCGGUCUGUGUCACACAGCAGGAUUUCCCUGGUUUUUGUCAAGACAUGAAGCAGUGAUGCAAGACAUGCUUGUCUUGUGCCUCUGCCUGUGAUCUGGUGCUGGAGGCCUCCGCUGUUGCAUCUAAAGCCGCUUUGCUCAACAAGGAAGCAAGACCAAAACCCAGCAGCAGGUGCCAGAUGGAGCCGCCACACAGCUGGGGUGGGGGCAGCUCCUGCCCUGUGGAUGUGGAUGGCAGGGACCAUCUCUGACAGACACAUGAACAUCCCUAAAAUUCUCCUCUGCUCUCCAUCUUUCUARCAGUUUCCUGCUGUAACAGGGCAUUGCUAUGGAGGAAACGUAACUGGGAGCCACUCUUAGAACGCAGGGUACAUCCAGGAGAAGGACUGGAAGUGCCUUUAUAGCCCUUGUGGCAGGCUGCAUUCCCCUCUGGCUCCUUGCACUGCCGAGGAGAGAUCUCUGCAGCACUGUGGGAAUGCAAAGUGAGGGAUAUUUCCAUCCCAAGCUACUGUGAGGAACAAGGCUACCUGCGAGGCACCUCUUGCCAUGGCCAACAUAGCAACACCAGACACUCUUGUGGCAUAUCUGCAGUGGGGACAAAGCAGAACACCUGGAAUUACGAGGUAAAUAAAUGUGGCCGUCUUCGAAGGAAAAGUAGUGAAGGUAUCCUUACAUAUUCCUAGAAGACAAAUGGGUAAAUUUCUCAAGUUUAUGAGGUCAAAUAUAAUUUCUAUGUUAAUUACUAACCCAAGGGUUACUGAGGUCUGAGGGGAUGCCUAAGCAUCUAGGAAGGUUUCCUUGAACAAAAGGACUCCUUGUCUUCACAGAUCCUUUAUUUAUUUAUUUAUUUAUUUAUUUAUUUAUUAUUUCAAAUGAAAGGAAAGAGCUGAAGGUGAUGAAUGAAAAGAUGAGGAUGGAUCCACUUACCCAACUGUCCUCUACAGAACUGAGUUCUGGAGAAUGCAGCUGCUGGCAUAAUCGUUAACACUUCAUGAUAUUGAUGCUAAAUACUUUAAUCUCCYAAAAUGCCUUUCUGAAUUGGUCACUGCUAUAUUAACUGCCAUUCAAUUGCACCAAAUAGGUGAAUAUCACAGCUUGGUUUUUGCUCUAAGUGGGGGGAAAAAAAGAGAAAAAAAAAGAAACUAGCAAAUUACCCCUGCUCUUCCUUAAGCAAAUAUUUUAUUUUUCCAGCAAUUUACAAAAAGUUUAUAUAAUUUUGGGUCCUGAUUUGUGCUUGUGUGCCUAUGGUUCUCUCAAAAAGCCAAAUGUAAUUUUAGAAAUAGAUUGGUGGGCUUCAAACUAUCGGAGGAUGCAACAGAUGAAGUUCCAUAGCAGGGCAACGGAUAAUCUAUAGAAAGAGGGGAGGAUUUGGUUUCUACUUGAGAUUCCUACCCACGGCUGAAGAGCAGUAUCAUUCAUAUGCACAGAGUGCAGGUUUUUUUUUUUUUUUUUUGUAUU